GUGGAUGUAGUUCAGUCGGUUAGAACGUCGGAUUGUGGUUCCGAAGGUCGUGGGUUCGAAUCCCAUCUUCCACCCGA
rnacentral:tRNA from 5 species